AUUGAACGCUGGCGGUACGCUUAACACAUGCAAGUCGAACGGUAGCAGGCUUUAGUUUACUAAAGUGCUGACGAGUGGCGGACGGGUGAGGAACCCGUAGGAAUCUGUCUAAGAGUUUGGGACAACACGGGGAAACACGUGCUAAUACCGGCUACCCUCUACGGAGGAAAGGUGGGAGCAAUCCUGUCGCUCAUAGGUGAGCCUGCGUUGGAUUAGCUAGUUGGUAGGGUAAGAGCCUACCAAGGCAUCGAUCCAUAGCUGAUCGGAGAGGAAGAUCAGCCACACUGGGACUGAGACACGGGCCAGACGCCUACGGGAGGAAGCAGUGGGGAAUAUUGGACAAUGGGCGCAAGCCUGAUCCAGCAAUACCGCGUGUGUGAAGAAGGCCUGAGGGUUGUAAAGCACGUUCGUUGAGGAGGAAGUGUAGUUGGUUAAUUCCCGAUUAUGUUGACGUUACUCAAAUAAGAAGCACCGGCUAACUCCGUGCCAGCAGCCGCAGUAA
rnacentral:rRNA from 1 species